GGGAGUAAAAGUCGUAACAAGGUUUCCGUGGGUGAACCUGCGGAAGGAUCAUUACAGAGUUCAUGCCCUCACGGGUAGAUCUCCCACCCUUGAAUAUUUAUACCUUAGUUGCUUUGGCAGGCCGUGGAAACACCAUGGGCUCCGGCUUAUGCGUGCCUGCCAGAGGAAACAAACUCUGUUUUUAGUGAUGUCUGAGUACUAUAUAAUAGUUAAAACUUUCAACAACGGAUCUCUUGGUUCUG
rnacentral:misc_RNA from 1 species